GGUUAAGCGACUAAGCGUACACGGUGGAUGCCCUGGCAGUCAGAGGCGAUGAAGGACGUGCUAAUCUGCGAUAAGCGUCGGUAAGGUGAUAUGAACCGUUAUAACCGGCGAUUUCCGAAUGGGGAAACCCAGUGUGAUUCGUCACACUAUCAUUAACUGAAUCCAUAGGUUAAUGAGGCGAACCGGGGGAACUGAAACAUCUAAGUACCCCGAGGAAAAGAAAUCAACCGAGAUUCCCCCAGUAGCGGCGAGCGAACGGGGAGCAGCCCAGAGCCUGAAUCAGUGUGUGUGUUAGUGGAAGCGUCUGGAAAGGCGUGCGAUACAGGGUGACAGCCCCGUACACAAAAAUGCACAUGCUGUGAGCUCGAUGAGUAGGGCGGGACACGUGGUAUCCUGUCUGAAUAUGGGGGGACCAUCCUCCAAGGCUAAAUACUCCUGACUGACCGAUAGUGAACCAGUACCGUGAGGGAAAGGCGAAAAGAACCCCGGCGAGGGGAGUGAAAAAGAACCUGAAACCGUGUACGUACAAGCAGUGGGAGCCUCUUUUAUGGGGUGACUGCGUACCUUUUGUAUAAUGGGUCAGCGACUUAUAUUCUGUAGCAAGGUUAACCGAAUAGGGGAGCCGAAGGGAAACCGAGUCUUAACUGGGCGUUAAGUUGCAGGGUAUAGACCCGAAACCCGGUGAUCUAGCCAUGGGCAGGUUGAAGGUUGGGUAACACUAACUGGAGGACCGAACCGACUAAUGUUGAAAAAUUAGCGGAUGACUUGUGGCUGGGGGUGAAAGGCCAAUCAAACCGGGAGAUAGCUGGUUCUCCCCGAAAGCUAUUUAGGUAGCGCCUCGUGAAUUCAUCUCCGGGGGUAGAGCACUGUUUCGGCAAGGGGGUCAUCCCGACUUACCAACCCGAUGCAAACUGCGAAUACCGGAGAAUGUUAUCACGGGAGACACACGGCGGGUGCUAACGUCCGUCGUGAAGAGGGAAACAACCCAGACCGCCAGCUAAGGUCCCAAAGUCAUGGUUAAGUGGGAAACGAUGUGGGAAGGCCCAGACAGCCAGGAUGUUGGCUUAGAAGCAGCCAUCAUUUAAAGAAAGCGUAAUAGCUCACUGGUCGAGUCGGCCUGCGCGGAAGAUGUAACGGGGCUAAACCAUGCAC
rnacentral:rRNA from 1 species